UUUGUAUGUAUAAAUGGU
rnacentral:siRNA from 1 species